rnacentral:rRNA from 1 species
UAGAGUUUGAUCCUGGCUCAGAACGAACGCUGGCGGCGUGCUUAACACAUGCAAGUCGAACGGGAUUAAGGGGCUUGCUCCUUAAUCUAGUGGCGCACGGGUGAGUAACGCGUGGAUAAUCUGCCCUGGUAACCUGGAUAACAUCUCGAAAGGGGUGCUAAUACGGGAUAAGCCCACGGGGACUUUGGUCCUUGCGGGAAAAGGUGGCCUCUGCAUAUGCUACCGAAUCAGGAUGAGUCCGCGUCCCAUUAGCUAGUUGGUGGGGUAAUGGCCUACCAAGGCAACGAUGGGUAGCUGGUCUGAGAGGAUGAUCAGCCACACUGGAACUGAGACACGGUCCAGACUCCUACGGGAGGCAGCAGUGGGGAAUUUUGCGCAAUGGGGGAAACCCUGACGCAGCAACGCCGCGUGAGUGAUGAAGGCCUUCGGGUCGUAAAGCUCUGACAGAGGGAAAGAAGUGUAUGAGGGCUAAUACCCCUUUUACUUGACGGUACCCUCAAAGGAAGCACCGGCUAACUCCGUGCCAGCAGCCCCGGUCAA